rnacentral:ncRNA from 2 species
CCCCGGGCGACUGGGGGUCUGAAGGAAGCCCGAGGCAAAGCGCUGGCCUGACGAACAGGAAGCGGAUAUGAGGCGACGCAUCUGGGUAAGGCAGCAAAAAGGGCCAAAGCCCAGUACUUGCACGGAACGGUGCGGCGUAGAUCCGACAGGCAUAAGCGUGAAGGUGGGUGCGU